rnacentral:rRNA from 1 species
GAUCCUGGCUCAGAACGAACGCUGGCGGCGUGCCUAAGACAUGCAAGUCGUACGGAAAGGCCCUCUUCGGAGGGCACUCGAGUGGCGCACGGGUGAGUAACGCGUGGGUAAUCUGCCUUUGGGUCUGGGACAACCUCGGGAAACUGGGGCUAAUACCAGAUAAGACCACGAACUCCUCGGAGUUCGCGGGAAAAGAUGGCCUCUCCUUGGAAGCUAUCGCCUAUCGAUGAGCCCGCGUCCCAUUAGCUAGUUGGUGAGGUAACGGCUCACCAAGGCUUCGAUGGGUAGCUGGUCUGAGAGGAUGAUCAGCCACACUGGAACUGAGACACGGUCCAGACUCCUACGGGAGGCAGCAGUCGGGAAUUUUGGGCAAUGGGCGAAAGCCUGACCCAGCAACGCCGCGUGAGGGAUGAAGGCCUUCGGGUCGUAAACCUCUGUCGGGAGGGAAGAACGGUUGUCGUUCGAAUAGGGCGCCAGCCUGACGGUACCUCCAAAGGAAGCACCGGCUAACUCCGUGCCAGCAGCCGCGGUAA